rnacentral:lncRNA from 1 species
GGAGGCGGCUGGGCCCGGCCCGGGAGCGCUCGCCUGCCCUCCCUGGCGGUGCCCUGUGCCCGCAGCUGCGGCGCCCGGAGCCCGCGAUCUGCCGCCAGGCGCAGAAGUUCCGCGGUCCACGUGCGGCCGAGACGCGUUUGUUUAUGGCGGACCCGCCUUCGGGCGGAGCGCUCGGGCGCCACGGCCCGGGGAAGUGGGGAGGGGGGGCGGAAAGAGGGGGGGAGGAGGGACCGCGGCGGGGGCGGGGGCGGCCAACCUCGCCUCCAGACCCCGCCGCGGCCCCGGAGUCACAGGCGCACCUCCGCCUCCAGGGACUCUCCCGGGAGAGACCCGCGCGCUCCGGGCCUCGAGGAAGUGGUGGUCCUUUCGUCGUGGAAAGGAGGGACCUGGGGUCCGCGUGAGGUCUGGGGAGAGAGUGAGAGCCGGCGCGUGUUGAUGGAUGGAAGUCUCGUGGAAACGGAGAGGCCAGUACUUUUCAUCUCGGCUUCGCCAAAGAUCCCUGAGCCGUCCCCGGUUCGCGCGCUCGUCCGCAGCCCGGAUCCGGAGUCGGGUUCUCAGGCUGGCGGUUCCGCCAUCUGGGAGGGAGAUCCCGCGUGGUACCCUGAUUGAGGAGGGAGGUGCGACUCCCCUGCGCCGUCCCUCGCCCCUUCUUAACUGCCCCAAGACAGAAUUCCUUUUAGUUGCCAGAACAAAUACCCAGGAGGAGGAGCACGUUUUCGCAUAAAUGGGGACUUUUUCACGUAACACUUUUUCUCAGUUCAGGAGUAUUUUCCCUGGCAAAAGUAUCGGUUAGCUGAUAAACUACAGGGUGAAUUCAAACUGCGGUUUAGGACUUUUUUUGGCCCCAACUCCAGCACUGUGUUCGUUUUAUAGAGGGCAGAAACAAACAAACAAAAAAUCUUGGUUAUACCACCAAUGUUCUUUUCGACCAAAGGGUUGCAGACAAAGACAUUAUUUAAUCUGACUACGGAAUUCUCAGUUUUUAUCUCCGAGAAGCUUUUGAACCAGGCGAGCCCUCGGGCACCCGGCGGCUUUUCAAGUUCAAGGGCACUUUGUUGUCGCUUUCCCCCUGACAGCGGGGGCGUUAGGGUGUGAGUGUGCGCAGUGGCUGCGUGGAGUUGUGCAAAUGCUACUCCACUCGAAAGAUCGAAGCUAAUUACACUUUUCUUCCAGUGGUGUGAGACUUAGUUUCAAUCUUGCAUUUCAUUCUGGAGAGUUCCCACCGAUUGCUAAGCCUUGAGCUGGCAUGAGGGGGCGAGGAGAGUUUAUUGCGAAAUCUUAACUUUCGAAUAAAUACAAGGAGGCGUGGGGAGAGAAAUGCGCGGUGGUGAACGCAGUCGUUGGAGCGUGGUCUGGCGACCUGGCGAAACAACAGGCGCCAGGUUACACGUCUUUCGGGGGCUCUCAGCACGUUCUAGACCAAAAGUGAUAGCCGAAAACACUUGUUGAACGCCUUAAAUAUCCGCAGUGAGCACUGCAAAGCUCCUAUAUGAAUCUGCUUUACUUCCUGGAGAGUUGAGGACCAGGGAGGGAAAAAGCCCAGCGCCCUGACUCCCGGUGCACAAAUAAUUUUAGUGUUUAUUGAUGUNNNNNNNNNNNNNNNNNNNNNNNNNNNNNNNNNNNNNNNNNNNNNNNNNNNNNNNNNNNNNNNNNNNNNNNNNNNNNNNNNNNNNNNNNNNNNNNNNNNACUCCCGGUGCACAAAUAAUUUUAGUGUUUAUUGAUGUCUACUUAAAGUAAUUGACCAGAAAAUACCUCCCUGUCUAAGCCACAUAAAGAGUGCUCCAUUGAAAGCUAAUUGACCUAUUUAUGUUUCAGUUCAGUUUGAUGUCUCCAUCGUUCUUUUUUGCAGAAGCUGUCAACUCUGACAAAGGAAGGAAACUGGAAGCUAGGGAAGCUGCACCUGCAGAAAGUGCUGGAAUUCCCAGGCCAACCCCACCCCACUGUCCUUUACCUGUACUUGGAUCUUUCUUACUUAGCCGUGUGAGAUUCAGCAGUUACUUGGAUUUUCCUAAGUAAAAUCCAGAAAGGGAAAUUUGUGCUCAUUAACAUGCACAAACAUUUAAAUUUCUGAGUGGCUUGGAUUGAGUCAAGAGGAAAGGAUUCUUCCUGCCAUGGCCGCAGAGAGUUGUCAGUAAAAACUGAAAACUUUCAGCAGAAGAUAGAAAGGCAAUAAUUUAGACACACAGAGAAAAUCCCUCGCUAGAAAAAAAGAAAAAAAUGCUCCAAGUAAAAGUUAGGAAAUUUAUUUUUUGUACAAAAAUCCUUUGAACCUUGUUUGACAGUAAAUGUAUUUUGUUAGUUAUGUGGGUAGAUCUGGAUUUCUCCGAGACCCUUUGCACUUGUGAAUCUGAGAUUCAUUCUCAGCAAAGAUGAGUAAUGGAUCUUUGAGGAAUCUAUGCUUUAAAGUUGAUGUUCCCUGUUGGUCAUGGAAGCAGCUUCACUUUCGAUACUUUAUGAGGUUGGUUGUCAAGGGAACCUUGGGUAAAAUUUCUCAGGAGUGUCUCUGAAAACAUUAUUCAUAAUUAAAAAGUGAUGCAUAGAAAUCACCAGAAAAAUUAUGGCAAGUUUUGUUCGAACAUGUUUUUUGACCAUGUGGAAUAAAUAAAAUCAUUAAGGUCUGGUUGGGUAAGACUGUCUCCCUGACUUCCUUUGACUGUGCCAGGAGGAUCUGAGAGAGCAUCAUGGAUGUGAGAGCAACCUGUGGAGUAUGAGCUGAAGGGGACCUCCAUUUUCUCUAGAUAUUUCCUGUAUUGAAAUACAAAUUAUAAUUCCAUCCUUUUAAAGAUUCCUACAAAGUGCAGUCCAAGAGGUGUGUAAAGUAGCACUAAAGGGGUAUCCUUUUGUUUUUAGACUGGCAAUUCGUUUCUUACAUGAUAGUAUACAUGUUUCCAUGCCAUUCUCCCAAAU